rnacentral:rRNA from 1 species
UAAGCAAUUAUACAGCGAAACUGCGAAUGGCUCAUUAUAUAAGUUAUCGUUUAUUUGAUAGUACCUUACUACUUGGAUAACCGUGGUAAUUCUAGAGCUAAUACAUGCUAAAAAUCUCGACUUCGGAAGGGAUGUAUUUAUUAGAUUAAAAACCAAUGCCCUUCGGGGCUCUCUGGUGAUUCAUGAUAACUUCUCGAAUCGCAUGGCCUUGCGCCGGCGAUGGUUCAUUCAAAUUUCUUCCCUAUCAACUUUCGAUGUUUGGGUAUUGGCCAAACAUGGUUGCAACGGGUAACGGAGGGUUAGGGCUCGACCCCGGAGAAGGAGCCUGAGAAACGGCUACUACAUCCAAGGAAGGCAGCAGGCGCGCAAAUUACCCAAUCCCGACUCGGGGAGGUAGUGACAAUAAAUACUGAUACAGGGCUCUUUUGGGUCUUGUAAUUGGAAUGAGUACAAUUUAAAUCCCUUAACGAGGAACAAUUGGAGGGCAAGUCUGGUGCCAGCAGCCGCGGUAAUUCCAGCUCCAAUAGCGUAUAUUAAAGUUGUUGUGGUUAAAAAGCUCGUAGUUGAACCUUGGGCCUGGCUGGCCGGUCCGCCUCACCGCGUGUACUGGUCCGGCCGGGCCUUUCCCUCUGUGGAACCCCAUGCCCUUCACUGGGUGUGGCGGGGAAACAGGACUUUUACUUUGAAAAAAUUAGAGUGCUCCAGGCAGGCCUAUGCUCCAAUACAUUAGCAUGGAAUAAUAGAAUAGGACGUGUGGUUCUAUUUUGUUGGUUUCUAGGACCGCCGUAAUGAUUAAUAGGGACAGUCGGGGGCAUCAGUAUUCAAUUGUCAGAGG